UGUGUGUGUGUGUGUGUGUGAAAUCCUCCCACCCAGUUAUCAUCCAGCCACUCCUCACCUGUCUAAAGGAUGAACAUCUCUCAACUCAAUUUGAGCUGUGUGGCUCAACAGGCAGAAUGUGAGGUGAUUAUUAAACAUUGGUGCAAUCUCCCCAGCCCGGAUAAAGCCGGAUAAAGGGAACAGGUCUCAAUCUACCAUUCGCCUGUUGUGAGACAGUGAACCCGCCCCGAGGAGAGGCAGACAGCUCCACUCAGGCAGAGAUCUGAGCUCACUGUGGCUGCAGAAUGUGCGGUGAUUAGAGUAAUGUGGGUUUUUUCUGAGCCCGUCGGCAACCGUGGCAGGUCAGGAAGCAGAACAGGCUGAUAAGAGUCAGCGGUGAGGAGUUUUAAUUAAAUAACGGGACAUUAUACGGCUGGAUUAUCCAAGUCUCUAGUGUGGGGACGCAGAGCGGUGGGACGACCGGACAAUGGGAAUGCUGAGCUGAGUAAGACUGGACAUGGGCCAAAAGAGGACAGGGAGAGAGCGACAGACUGAAAUCCAGGGAUUGGGUGUGUGCGUCAGACAGAGAAAGGACAGACACAAACCACAUUCGUUCCGUGAACCACCACACACACAUACUGAAACCGAGCUGGUGCAGCAGAGCUCUAAUGAGGCUGAACAGAAGAUCUGGACUUGAGGUUAAAUCAAUGAUGUGUGUGUCUGAGCCACCGACACACUAAAUGGCAGUUACUGCACACACACAUAUACACACACAGGUGAAAUAAUUAGCCUCUCCACUCCACACCAUUAUCAAAGAAUUGACAUCAUUAUGUGACCACUUUCCCUGAAGGCCUCUUCCCCCUCACUACAGUCCCCAUCCUUUCUGCUAGACACCAGCAGUCCGGCCUUCACCAGGGUUUGGGCCACUGUUUAUUUCAUUUACAUUUUUACCAUGCUUUCUCAUUGAAGCGACUUAAUAAGGUGCACAAGUCACAAUAAUAAUACCAGGACAGGUAGCUGAGAAUGCAAAUACAGCCUCUCAAACAGCAAGUAGCAGCCCGUAGCAAGUGUAAAUACAUUGAAUUUCUAAUCCCAUUGCCGAUAAAUGAAUACAAAGCUGGGUCGAUACUGUACAAGUGCUGACUUAGAGGAUACAAAUGAGUCCCUAAAGACGAGUCAAGACAAUGAAAGCAGGGCAUUUGCAAUGCAAGUAUGGAGGUGAUUACAUUUUAUUAACAACACGGGGCUGGACAUAACAACAUAAGCAGUGUGUGUUAGGCCACUCUAACCAGAUCUCAUGAGAAAAUGCAAAUAUUUUAUGAGGUGACUAUUGCAUAUGAACAUGUGCAUGUAAAUACCGUUAAUAAUAAGCCACUAGCACAAUGCUCUCCUUUUUGUCUUUGCUACAUUUAUAGGUAACACAUUCAAAAUUCACAUAUCACUUUGUGUACAGGGAGAGAAAACCAGAUUGAGAGAUUACAGGAUGUAGUUUAUGACAUAUGACGAUGGCAAACUUUGCCCGUAUAGGCAUCAAUUGUUUAUUUCAGUUGCCUUCAGUGGUGUUUUCAUGUUCUUGUCUUGGUUCUGUUGCAUCUGGCCUGGUUUGUAUUAGCUGAAUUCUAGGAAUUCCGUUCACAGCAUGAUUGAUUAUCCAUAAAACAUGGUUGACACUGCUGAAUUAUGGUUGAAGAACAGCCAAUAAAUUGUUUUAGAUGGCUUAUUACAACAGUGUUACUGGACUGGCAUUUUCAAUUAUUGUGGACUUGUAAAUCAUGGUGCUUUUUUGGAAUAAACGUAUUAAAUUGGUGAUAA